rnacentral:rRNA from 1 species
CCCUUAGAUGUCCUGGGCCGCACGCGCGCUACACUGACAUGUUCAACAAGUUUCUCCUAGUUCGACAGGACUGGGAAAUCUUUGAACGCAUGUCGUGAUAGGGAUAGAUCAUUGCAAUUAUUGAUCUUGAACGAGGAAUUCCUAGUAAACGCGAGUCAUCAGCUCGCAUUGAUUACGUCCCUGCCCUUUGUACACACCGCCCGUCGCACCUGCCGAUUGAAUGUUUCGGUGAAGAUUCCGGAUAGGACUGAUUUGAUUUAUUUCAUUUCUGACCUAAAAGCUAUCUAAACCUCAACAUUUAGAGGAAGGUGAAGUCGUAACA